UUUGCCACUUCAGACAUACACUGCCACAUGUUGCCUACACCUGCCAUUUCAUCUCUUCCCUUUAAUUGCUAACUGUUGGACUACUUCCCUUCACAGACGUUUCUCUCUUCUUGCUUUACAUCCUACCUCUCUUCUUCUACCUACUUGUUAAUACCCACAAGCAAGGAUAUCCAAAUGCUGAUUCUUGUUGUUUCUUCUACCAUCUCUCACCUUCUCUCUUCAUUUAUUUCUAGAGAUUUUUAGGGCGGCUCACUUCUCCCACAACUCAAGAAUGGCGCCUCACUCCUCCCACAGCUCAAGAAUGGCGCCUCCAACACUCUAUUUAUAGCAGCAACAUCAUUAUUCAAUGGCUUACAUUCAAUUCCUACCUAAAGUUCAAUUGAUUAUUAAAGGCAUCUUGCAUUCCAUCCAUCAUCGGGAAAUGAUAGAUUUGUUGCUGCAGAGACUGGAAGUGGAUACCCGGUAAUUUUUCCUCGAGAAAAUGAAUCUGUACUACUGGGAGCUGCUGUACUUGGUUCUGUUGCAGCGAAGAAAUAUCCUAGCCUUCACAAGUGGAUGAAGGCACUAAAUGCAGCAGGCCAGUUGUGAAUUGCUCGUUUCUUAUGAUGGCACCACAAACCUCUGGACUUGUAAACCUUUUGUUACUCACUUAAAGGUUGCAGAGGAGAAAAUUGGUUUGGCUGUGAAAUCAAUUAAACUCGAGGUCGAAAAAAAUAAAAUGCUGAAACGUGGUGAACUCUUGAGAGAUUUGUACAAUUUGUUGGCACACAAGACGUUCUGGAGAUGGUCAACAAAUUGGAUACAAAGAUGUCUCAGUUAGAAGCUGCUCGGAAAAUCUACUCACAGGUGUUAACUCUACUCUCAUUCCACCAUUCAUUGAGACUUUGUUAUUUGAAAUAUAAUGUACAGAGUUAUCAAAGCUUACUUUUCAGGGAGCAGGCGAGGAUGCAUCAGGUAUGCUCUUCUAUAGUUAUUCUUGUGCAAUGUUACAAAUAUGAGUGAGCACGGUGCAACUUGAUACGUUAAACAAACCGCGUUGAAAUAUAGGUUAAAUUAUAUUUUUUUUUCAAAUUGCAACAAACCUCUCAACACCUAAAACUGGACCAAGCUACUUUAAAACAAUUUCAUUUGGUGGGUUUGCUACUUUUUACUUUUCCGUACUAUUUAGAUACAUGUAAAUAUUAGCAAAAUUAAUUUUUAAACCCAAUUACUGAUACUAAAAGCGAUCCUCGAACAUUUUUGGCUUUGAUACUUUGGUACAAACUAAAUAAGGUUACAAACAUUUAUAAUUGCGGUUUAGAAUCAAAUAAUUAUAAAAAUGAAAAUUUAAAGUAUUGAACCAUAUCGGUACCCAAGAUUUUAAAAUCAAAUUUCUUUCUUUUUUAAUUGCAAAUCGGAUAUAACCCCUAAAUUGUAACUUAGUAUAAUGUGGUUUGUCGCCCCAUACUUUGGAGAGUAAAGCAAAAUGAUAGGAUCCAGUUGUCAUGAAGUUUAUUCCUGUCGUACUGUUUAAGUUGUUAUAUAUACCAUAUGACAUCGACUAUAUAUUUAUCGACAUUUGCAAUAUAUGUGGAGGAUAUUAUUUGCAAUACAUUGGUAUUAUUCUUAUUAUUUAUUCUCUUUUCAUUACUCAAAUAUACCCCUUUUAUUUGGAACCAUGGAGUCUACACUCGAUCUAACCUUGUAAGUUUUUUCUAUGGAUUUCAAUUUGUUGCAUUCUUUUGGUUAGCUCUGAGAGUUUGGGCAUUUUAAUUUUUUCACAAUGCUCACCAGAGCUCACAUUCAAUUUUCGAGUGUUUUAUAUCUUACAAUUUUGAAUUCAUUCGACAAAUGUUGAUGAACAUUGCUUUCUUUACAGGAUUCACUAUAUUUCGGGGCUUCUUAAUUGACUGUAUGCACCAUUAUCUUCGCAAACUCAUCAACAUUAUAAGCAAGGUUAGAUAAUAGCUGGGAAAAGAAGCUAAAAGAGUUGGUUAGGAAAGGAAUUCAAGGGGUAAUAUUGAUUACCCUUGUUCAUACUUGUUACUAAUAGAUUUCAAUCAUUUGCCGCUUAUAGUCUUUUUGAGGAAUUCCCAUGUAAUGCAAGGUUCAUGUUCUUCGAUCAAUUAGCUGUUGUUGAAUUUUCAGCUUUGUAUAUUUCUUGUUCUUUAUCAUUUGCUGAUAAACCAUUAAUUAAUAGUUCUAAUGACUUGCACAUAUUUAAUCCAAGUGAAAAUUUUAAUUACACA